AUUGAACGCUGGCGGCAGGCCUAACACAUGCAAGUCGAGCGGGGUUUUCGGACCUAGCGGCGGACGGGUGAGUAAUGCGUAGGAAGCUGCCCGAUAGAGGGGGAUACCAGUUGGAAACGACUGUUAAUACCGCAUAAUGUCUACGGACCAAAGUGUGGGACCUUCGGGCCACAUGCUAUCGGAUGCGCCUACGUGGGAUUAGCUAGUUGGUGAGGUAAUGGCUCACCAAGGCGACGAUCUCUAGCUGGUUUGAGAGGAUGAUCAGCCACACUGGAACUGAGACACGGUCCAGACUCCUACGGGAGGCAGCAGUGGGGAAUAUUGGACAGUGGGCGCAAGCCUGAUCCAGCCAUGCCGCGUGUGUGAAGAAGGCCAUCGGGUUGUAAAGCACUUUCAGCGAGGAGGAAGGGUGGUGUGUUAAUAGCACAUCAUUUUGACGUUACUCGCAGAAGAAGCACCGGCUAACUCUGUGCCAGCCGCCGCAGUAAAAC
rnacentral:rRNA from 1 species